rnacentral:misc_RNA from 1 species
GAUGAAGAACGUAGCGAAAUGUGAUACUUGGUGUGAAUUGCAGAAUCCCGUGAACCAUCGAGUUUUUGAACGCAAGUUGCGCCCGAAGCCGUUAGGCCGAGGGCACGCCUGCCUGGGUGUCACACAUCGUUGCCCCAAUGCCAAUCGCCUCACUUUGUAGGUAUUUGCUUGGGGUGAAUGAUGGCCUCCCGUGAGCUUUGUCUCACGGUUGGUUGAAAAUCGAGUGCAUGGUGUCGGGUGUACCAUGAUGGAUGGUGGUUGAGUGAUGAUGCUCGAGACCAAUCAUGGGUAACUCCACCAGAAUUGGGCUCGGUGACCCACAUGCGUCCCUUGGAUGCUCCCUAAGGAGACCUCAGGUCAGGCGGGGCUACCCGCUGAGUUUAAGCAUAUCAAUAAGCGGAGGA